ensembl:snRNA U4 U4 spliceosomal RNA
AUCUUUGCGCAGUGGCAGUAUCAUAACCAGUGAGGUUUAUCCGAGGCAUGAUUAUUGCUAAUUGAAAACUUUACCCAAUACCCCGCCUUGACGAUUUGAAAUACAAUCGGCAAUAGCAAUUUUUGACAGUCUCUUUGGAGA